rnacentral:rRNA from 1 species
UACGUAGGGUGCAAGCGUUAAUCGGAAUUACUGGGCGUAAAGCGUGCGCAGGCGGUUUUGUAAGUCUGUCGUGAAAUCCCCGGGCUCAACCUGGGAAUUGCGAUGGAGACUGCAAGGCUAGAAUCUGGCAGAGGGGGGUAGAAUUCCACGUGUAGCAGUGAAAUGCGUAGAUAUGCGGAGGAACACCGAUGGCGAAGGCAAUCCCCUGGGCCUGUACUGACGCUCAUGCACGAAAGCGUGGAGAGCAAACAGG